rnacentral:lncRNA from 1 species
UAAGUGUAAACUUAUCUACUAAGGAUUUAUAUUUUUCAGCAUCUUCUUUUAACUUGACAUUUUCAGCAAUUAGAUUCUUGGUUUCAUUUGUGAGUUUCCUACUUAAUAUUUCAUAGUUAUGAGAUAGUUUUAACUUAUCUUUGAUAAGAUAUUGAUUUUCUUCUUUUAGAACUUUAUUUUUAUUGAUUAGUUUUUUAUGUUCUUCCAUGAGUUCUAAAAAUGCAUCAUGUAAUUCAUCAACAGUAAAAUCACAUUCAAGUUCAGAAUCUACCUCAUCGUCAUUGGCCAUAUGACAUAUUUGGGCCGUCUCUUGAUGAUCUUCCUCUUCCGAACUUGACUCCUCACUUUUUCACUCCAUUCAGCCAUGAAGUUCUUCUUUUUCAGUUUUCUUGCCAUCCACUUUAAUUCCGGACAAUCUAUCUUAUAAUGCCCGGGUUUGUUACACUCAUAACAAAUAGGAGUUUCUUUUUCCUUUUCUUUGUCCUUACCCUUUUCUUUGCUUGAGCUACCUUUGAAGAAGGGUUUCUUUUUAUGAAAUCUAUUCUUAUCUCUCAUAAAUUUUCUGAAUUUUCUUCCAAGCAUAGCCAUUCCUUCUUCAUCAAAUUCAUCAUCAUCAUCUGAAUCUUCCGACUCAGUUUGUUGUUUAGGGGUGGU